UCUGUGCCUUAGAACUGCUGAAUGCUGGCUAGUGAAGGCUAAGAGGAGCAGUCCAGGAAGGAAGAGGGGCUCCCCAUGGUAGAAACAAAGAGAACAUGGCCCGACACCAAAGGGAAAGCUUUUUAAGCAACCCAAGAUGGAGGAAUGGGGUCCACAGUAAGGUAUUGACCUCCCCCACUGUGAGCCGGAGCACAGAAGUUAUUUCUUCUCUUGAAGGGAUGAUGCUUAAAUAAAUCGACAGACCCUCCACCCCUCAUGCUGAGCAAAGAUGUGCCCAUUGGCUGAAGGGCAGAAGCUUGCCUGCCCUCUGACUGUGAAUCACCAAGGCAUCCUCCUGCUUAGCAGACUCAAGUCUCUCUGAGGAAGUUAGCAGCUGCUGAGUCUUCUUUCUGUUUCAAACAUUGAAAGAAAGGAAACCAAUAGACUCACUUAAGGCUGGGCAGGGGACUCAUGGGAAUGGAUUCAGCUCUCUGAACUCUGGGGAUCUGUCCUCUCCCCACCUGAAGGACUUGCUGGGUAGCCAGGGCUUUGCCAUCCAUGUAUAAAGUAUUAUCUUAUCCAUGUUAGGGGAGGGAGAAGAAGGAAAAGUGGGGGGAAGGAGUUCAAAGUCUAGAAUUAAGAAGUAUGGGGAGGUAAUAAAGCUGAGGAAUUAGCAAUGCCACUGGAGCUGAGACCAGGAGUAAGAAAGGUGGGCAGCUGUCCAAGGGCACAGUGAGAGGGAAGGGGCAGGCCAAAAAGGGACAAUUUUUCAUAUUUGUGAAAUAAUGCCAGAAAAUCCCACAUUUCAUCAAGCACAGGCAUUUAAUGUGCUUGGUCUUCCUGGUUCCAUACUACUCCUUCUCUAAAUCUAUCCCUCAUUCCAGUACCCAAGUGAUCUUUAUAAUACACUGUUCUGAUUACAACACUGUUCCACAAAACAAACAAACCUUAAUUAGCUCUCCAUUGCCUAAAAAAGAAAGUACAGUCACUUUUGCUGUAAUGCUUGUUUUGUUCUAACAGGAUUUUGAGUUUACUAAUGUACAUUUCUUCUAAAGCACUGAGAUUCAGAAAGGUGGAAGGCAGCACUUGGCAAUAACUCACAAGCUGUAAACCUUCCACAAGCAAACUUUAGAUAUUUGUCAAGCUAAAGGGCCACAGAGACGCUCUAUCUUCUGGUGCGGUAGGAACUGAGGAAGGUGGAGGGCUGGUUCUCAUCGAACCUCCUUCCUCCAUGGCCUGCAGCCCGGCCAGCUGAGACUUUGCCAGACCAGAGGUGGCCCCUGGCUGGGCCGCAGACAGCCAGAGGCCAAGGACACCACCACAGCAUAUUGUGAUAUGUGCGUAUUUCUUAACCAUAUAAUAUGUUUAACACUGUGCUACUUUUUUUUUUAAUGUAUCUUAGAGUGUUGUGCCCCUAACUUCAUUUUCUCCAUGAACCCUGUGGUUCUUAUCUUGUGAUUUUGCAUAGCUCAAUACUUAAUAUGUUACAUUAUAGUAGAAGUAACCGUAAAGACUCCUUAGUCUGGCAUUCAAGGCUUUCUAAUAUUAUUAUUCAUUACUGAAACUGACCAAUAUACAGCUAUAAGGUUUUUUCCCUUAAA